rnacentral:lncRNA from 1 species
UGAACAGUAUAUUUCCAGGGAUUGGUUGUCCUGUUCCUCGAAUUCCAGCUGAAGCUAAUCCUUUAGCAGAUCAUGUCUCUGCUACUAGAAUUUUGUGUGGAGCCCUUGUCUUUCCUACUAUUGCGACAAUAGUUGGUAAACUGAUGUUCAGUAGCGUUAACUCAAAUUUACAGAGGACAAUCUUGGUAAGAUGGAUUUAAUAAUACUUGUUUCAGGCAGUGUACAGAUGAGAGUGAACUGUAUUUGUUUUUAAAGUGAGAGAUGUUCUGUAGGGGCUCUGUGCCUGCUCCCUCCAUCAACCCCACUGUCAACUUAGCUUAAGGGAGAUAAAAAAAACAGGUCCUACUGCCAGUCUAGCUUCCUGAACACUCUCUGUGGGUGCCUUCUCUUCUGGGCUACGCUCUGGCUUCAAUCCCCAGUACCAGCAUCAUAAAUAAACAAAUGAGAUGAACCUGA